rnacentral:lncRNA from 1 species
AAUAUGAUAAAACUUAUUAACUUAUUAUCAUCUUUUAUUAUUUUUGGAUUGUAUACUUCUUUAUCUGUGGAUUAAUAUUUAAAUCACAAUACAAGCAUGCCUAACGUUGACUUGUUGUUUAGAUCUGGCUAGACAUGGAGAGUUUUUGAGAUUCCAUAAGUAUAAAUCACGUAUUUCAUAUAUAACCACAACCAAUAUAAUGUAAUUAAUCUAUAAACAAAGUGAAUAACCCAUUCUUAAUUUCGAUCUACCCAGCCUAUCACUGCAACAUCUUCAUCUACAAUGAAUGCUCUAGUUCCAUCCUCAACUGCAUUGGGUGUUACAUCUUCAGCUGCUACAAGUGGAUUUAUGGGUCCAAAAAAAAGUGGAGUUAUGUUUUCGGAUGCACUGAAAAAAGUGUAAUGUGGUUGGAGAAGACUGGGGGGUUGGGGAGAGGGCGUUGUGCGGUGCACACAUCCCAGCCAUAAAGUCAAUAUAUACAACACUUUUAAAUGCUGUAAAGUAAGAAAAUAAAAUUUAAACUUUUUAACACAUUAUAUAAUCAGUGUUUUUUGGGUUAAAGUAUUUAAAAGAAUGGAACAUUACACUACGAGGGUGUUAAAACGUAACAAAGACAUCGACCCUUUAUUCUAAAAUAGACCACUAAUAUUUGGAAAUGGAAUGGAAGCAAAUUGGAACAACUUUUUGUGUAUAAAGGUGACAUAUUUUAUCAGAAAAACACUCUUUCGUGUAAAAAACUUGUAUUUUUUUUAAGGUUACGAGGGUGUUCCAUACCCCCUCCGGCCCUCUAGACACCCUUUUAUCUAUAGAGUUAUAUAAACUUGUAGCCUACUCUUACAUCUAUCUUUUGAUACCAAGGUAUAGACAUUUAUAUAAGAUUUGACAAAGUUAUAACAAUUUCAGUGAAAAAAAAAAAAAUUUUGGAACCAGUU